rnacentral:misc_RNA from 1 species
GAUGAAGAACGCAGCGGAAUGCGAUACGUAAUGUGAAUUGCAGAAUUCAGUGAAUCAUCGAGUCUUUGAACGCACAUUGCGCCCCCUGGUAUUCCGGGGGGCAUGCCUGUCCGAGCGUCAUUGCUGCCCUCAAGCACGGCUUGUGUGUUGGGCCUCCGUCCUCCUCCCGGGGGACGGGCCCGAAAGGCAGCGGCGGCACCGCGUCCGGUCCUCGAGCGUAUGGGGCUUCGUCACCCGCUCUUGUAGGCCCGGCCGGCGCUUGCCGACACAUCAAUCUUUUUUCCAGGUUGACCUCGGAUCAGGUAGGGAUACCCGCUGAACUUAAGCAUAUCAAUAAGCGGAGGA